rnacentral:lncRNA from 1 species
AUGGUGGAGUUCAGGAUCCUGCGAGGAGGAAGCAGGGCACUAAGCAGGAUCGCAAUCCUGGACUUCAGGAGAGCAAACUUUGGCCUCUUCAGGGACCUACUUGGAGGAAUCCCAUGGGUGAGGGCCCUAGAAGGAAGGGGCGUUCAAGAGAGCUGGUUAAUAUUCAGACAUCACCUCCUCCAGGCUCAAGAGCGGUGCAUCCCUAUGAGUAGGAAGUCAAGCAAAGGAGGUAGGAGACCUGCAUGGAUGAGCAAGGAGCUCCUGGCAAAACUCAACCAGAAGAAGGAAGUAUACAGAAAGUGGAAAGGGGGACAGACCACUUGGGAGGAAUAUAGGAACAUUAUCAGAGUAUGCAGGGAUGUGACAAGGAAGGCUAAGGCCCAUUUGGAAUUAAAACUGGCAAGGGAUGUCAAGGACAAGAAGAAGGGCUUCUUCAAAUACAUCAGUAGCAAAAGGAAGACUAGGGAAAAUGUGGGCCCAUUGCAGAAUGGGGUGGGUGCCCUGGUGACGAAGGAUACAGAGAAGGCAGAGUUACUGAAUGCCUUCUUUGCUUCAGUCUUUACUGCUCCGGCCAGCCCUCAGGAACCCCAGACCCCGGAGGCAAGAGAGAAAGUCUGGAGAAAGGAAGACUUUCCCUUGGUGGAGGAGGAUCAGGUUAGAGAUCAUUUAAGCAAACUUGAUACCCACAAAUCCAUGGGCCCCAAUGGGCUGCACCCACGAUUGCUGAAGGAGCUGGCAGAUGUUAUUGCUAGGCUACUCUCCAUCAUCUUUGAAAGGUCGUGGAGAACAGGAGAGGUGCCUGAAGACUGGAAGAAAGCCAAUGUCACCCUAGUCUUCAAAUUGGGCAAGAAGGAGGACCCGGGAAACUACAGGCCAGUCAGCCUCACCUGCAUCCCUGGAAAGGUGAUGGAGCAGCUCAUCCUGGAUGCCAUCUCUAAGCAUGUGGAGGAAAAGGAGGUGAUCAGUAGUCAGCAUGGCUUCACCAAGGGGAAAUCAUGCUUAACCAAUCUGAUAGCCUUCUGUGAUGGAAUGACUGGCUGGGUAGAUGAGGGGAGAGCAGUGGAUGUUGUCUACCUUGACUUCAGCAAGGCUUUUGACACUGUCUCCCGUGACAUUCUCAUAGACAAGCUCAGGAAGUGUGGGCUAGAUGAGUGGACAGUGAGGUGGAUUGAGAACUGA